rnacentral:rRNA from 1 species
GACGGACGCUGGCGGCGUGCCUAAUACAUGCAAGUAGAACGCUGAAGCUUGGUGCUUGCACCGAGCGGAUGAGUUGCGAACGGGUGAGUAACGCGUAGGUAACCUGCCUGGUAGCGGGGGAUAACUAUUGGAAACGAUAGCUAAUACCGCAUAAGAGUAGAUGUUGCAUGACAUUUGCUUAAAAGGUGCAAUUGCAUCACUACCAGAUGGACCCGCGUUGUAUUAGCUAGUUGGUGAGGUAACGGCUCACCAAGGCAACGAUACAUAGCCGACCUGAGAGGGUGAUCGGCCACACUGGGACUGAGACACGGCCCAGACUCCUACGGGAGGCAGCAGUAGGGAAUCUUCGGCAAUGGACGGAAGUCUGACCGAGCAACGCCGCGUGAGUGAAGAAGGUUUUCGGAUCGUAAAGCUCUGUUGUAAGAGAAGAACGAGUGUGAGAGUGGAAAGUUCACACUGUGACGGUAUCUUACCAGAAAGGGACGGCUAACUACGUG